AAAUUGGCUUUUUUAAAAGCUACAACCUUUAAAGACACAAGAUAAG
rfam:Nicotiana sylvestris Nsyl_contig121618, whole genome shotgun sequence.